UCCGAGUUGACCCCGGCAGUCUCCUACGAGUCCCCGGCAUUACCCGCUGGCAACAUAGGACAAGGGUUGCGCUCGUUGCGGGACUUAACCCAACAUCUCACGACACGAGCUGACGACAGCCAUGCACCACCUAUCGCAGACCCUUACGGACACCGUAUCUCGACGGCUUUUCCUGCGUAGUUCAACCCAGGUAAGGUUCUUCGCGUUGACACAUAGACUAC
rnacentral:misc_RNA from 1 species